rnacentral:rRNA from 1 species
UACGUAGGGUGCAGGCGUUACUCGGAAUCACUGGGCGUAAAGGGUGCGUAGGCGGCUUGUUAAGUUGGAUGUGAAAGCCCUCGGCUCAACUGAGGAACUGCGUCCAAAACUGGCAAGCUCGAGGAUGGUAGGGGACAGUGGAACUCCAGGUGGAGCGGUGAAAUGCGUAGAGAUCUGGAGGAACGCCGGUGGCGAAAGCGAUUGUCUGGGCCAUUCCUGACGCUGAGGCACGAAAGCCAGGGGAGCAAACGGG